GUGGGGAAUAUUGGACAAUGGGCGAAAGCCUGAUCCAGCCAUGCCGCGUGUGUGAAGAAGGUCUUCGGAUUGUAAAGCACUUUAAGUUGGGAGGAAGGGCAGUAAGUUAAUACCUUGCUGUUUUGACGUUACCGACAGAAUAAGCACCGGCUAACUUCGUGCCAGCAGCCGCGGUAAUACGAAGGGUGCAAGCGUUAAUCGGAAUUACUGGGCGUAAAGCGCGCGUAAGUGGUUUUGUAAGUUGGAGGUGAAAUCCCCGGGCUCAACCUGGGAACUGCCUCAAAAACUGCAUGACUAGAGUACGGUAGAGGGUAGUGGAAUUUCCUGUGUAGCGGUGAAAUGCGUAGAUAUAGGAAGGAACACCAGUGGCGAAGGCGACUACCUGGACUGAUACUGACACUGAGGUGCGAAAGCGUGGGGAGCAAACAGGAUUAGAAACCCUGGUAGUCC
rnacentral:rRNA from 1 species